rnacentral:rRNA from 1 species
AAAGGCGCGCGAUACAGGGUGACAGCCCCGUACACAAAAGCGCAUGUGCUGUGAGCUCGAUGAGUAGGGCGGGACACGUGGUAUCCUGUCUGAAUAUGGGGGGACCAUCCUCCAAGGCUAAAUACUCCUGACUGACCGAUAGUGAACCAGUACCGUGAGGGAAAGGCGAAAAGAACCCCGGCGAGGGGAGUGAAAAAGAACCUGAAACCGUGUACGUACAAGCAGUGGGAGCACCCUUUGGGGUGUGACUGCGUACCUUUUGUAUAAUGGGUCAGCGACUUAUAUUCUGUAGCAAGGUUAACCGAAUAGGGGAGCCGGAGGGAAACCGAGUCUUAACCGGGCGUUAAGUUGCAGGGUAUAGACCCGAAACCCGGUGAUCUAGCCAUGGGCAGGUUGAAGGUUGGGUAACACUAACUGGAGGACCGAACCGACUAAUGUUGAAAAAUUAGCGGAUGACCUGUGGCUGGGGGUGAAAGGCCAAUCAAACCGGGAGAUAGCUGGUUCUCCCCGAAAGCUAUUUAGGUAGCGCCUCGUGAAUUCAUCUCCGGGGGUAGAGCACUGUUUCGGCUAGGGGGCCAUCCCGGCUUACCAACCCGAUGCAAACUGCGAAUACCGGAGAAUGUUAUCACGGGAGACACACGGCGGGUGCUAACGUCCGUCGUGAAGAGGGAAACAACCCAGACCGCCAGCUAAGGUCCCAAAGUCAUGGUUAAGUGGGAAACGAUGUGGGAAGGCCCAGACAGCCAGGAUGUUGGCUUAGAAGCAGCCAUCAUUUAAAGAAAGCGUAAUAGCUCACUGGUCGAGUCGGCCUGCGCGGAAGAUGUAACGGGGCUAAACCAUGCACCGAAGCUGCGGCAGCGACGCUGAUGCGUUGUUGGGUAGGGGAGCGUUCUGUAAGCCUGCGAAGGUGGCCUGUGAGGGUUGCUGGAGGUAUCAGAAGUGCGAAUGCUGACAUAAGUAACGAUAAAGCGGGUGAAAAGCCCGCUCGCCGGAAGACCAAGGGUUCCUGUCCAACGUUAAUCGGGGCAGGGUGAGUCGACCCCUAAGGCGAGGCCGAAAGGCGUAGUCGAUGGGAAACGGGUUAAUAUUCCCGUACUUGGUGUUACUGCGAAGGGGGGACGGAGAAGGCUAUGUUGGCCGGGCGACGGUU